CCUCUCAUGGCGUAGUGGUUAACGCGCCCCAACUAGAGAUCGGGUAGUCGUGAGUUCGAUUCUCACUGAGAAGA
rfam:Aedes aegypti strain Liverpool supercont1.397 genomic scaffold, whole genome shotgun sequence.